rnacentral:rRNA from 1 species
CCCUGUCAGGGGGACAACCCGCCGAAAGGCGGGCUAAACCCGCGUACAUGCCACCGGGGCAUCCCGGAGGCAGGAAAGGCUUCGGCCGGACAGGGAUGGGCAUGCGGCGCAUUAGGCAGUAGGCGGGGUAACGGCCCACCUAACCGACGAUGCGUAGGGGUUCUGAGAGGAAGGUCCCCCACACUGGUACUGAGACACGGACCAGACUCCUACGGGAGGCAGCAGUGAGGAAUAUUGGUCAAUGGUCGGGAGACUGAACCAGCCAAGCCGCGUGAGGGAGGAAGGUACAGAGUAUCGUAAACCUCUUUUGUCAGGGAACAAAGACUGGGACGCGUCCCCGGAUGAGUGUACCUGAAGAAAAAGCAUCGGCUAACUCCGUGCCAGCAGCCGCGGUAAUACGGAGGAUGCGAGCGUUAUCCGGAUUUAUUGGGUUUAAAGGGUGCGCAGGCGGUCUGUUAAGUCAGCGGUCAAAGCCCGGGGCUCAACCCCGGCCCGCCGUUGAAACUGGCAGUCUCGAGUUGGAGAGAAGUAUGCGGAAUGCGCGGUGUAGCGGUGAAAUGCAUAGAUAUCGCGCAGAACUCCGAUUGCGAAGGCAGCAUGCCGGCUCCACACUGACGCUGAGGCACGAAAGCGUGGGUAUCGAACAGGAUUAGAUACCCUGGUAGUCCACGCAGUAAACGAUGAAUGCUGGCUGUCCGGG